rnacentral:sRNA from 1 species
UGUCGCUGCUAACCAGCACGGGCGUCGGAGAAUAUCCACGCCCGUGCGAUCAUGUUAAAGGCAAUGAAAAAUGG